rnacentral:rRNA from 1 species
GACGAACGCUGGCGGCGUGCUUAACACAUGCAAGUCGAACGGAAAGGCCCUGCUUUUGUGGGGUUCUCGAGUGGCGAACGGGUGAGUAACACGUGAGUAACCUGCCCUUGACUUUGGUAUAACUUCAGGAAACUGGGGCUAAUACCGGAUAGGAGCUCCUGCUGCAUGGUGGGGGUUGGAAAUUUUCGGCGGUUGGGGUUGGACUCGCGGCUUAUCAGCUUGUUGGUGGGGUAGUGGCUUACCAAGGCUUUGGCGGGUAGCCGGCCUGGGAGGGGGACCGGCCACAUUGGGACUGAGAUACGGCCCAGACGGCUACGGGAGGCAGCAGUGGGGAAUAUGGCACAAUGGGCGGAAGCCUGAUGCAGAAACGCCGCGUGCGGGAUGACGGCCUUCGGGUUGUAAACCGCUUUCGCCUGUGACGAAGCGUGAGUGACGGUAAUGGGUAAAGAAGCACCGGCUAACUACGUG